rnacentral:rRNA from 1 species
GACGAACGCUGGCGGCACGCCUAACACAUGCAAGUCGAACGGACUUAAAAGAGCUUGCUUUUUUAAGUUAGUGGCGGAUGGGUGAGUAACACGUGAGCAACCUGCCUCUGAGAGGGGGAUAGCUUCUGGAAACGGAUGGUAAUACCCCAUAAAAUAUAAAUAUCGCAUGAUAGAUAUAUCAAAGAAAUUCGCUCAGAGAUGGGCUCGCGUCUGAUUAGAUAGUUGGUGAGGUAACGGCUCACCAAGUCGACGAUCAGUAGCCGGACUGAGAGGUUGAACGGCCACAUUGGGACUGAGACACGGCCCAGACUCCUACGGGAGGCAGCAGUGGGGAAUAUUGCACAAUGGAGGGAACUCUGACGCAGCGAUGCCGCGUGGAGGAAGAAGGUUUUCGGAUUGUAAACUCCUUUUAUCAGGGACGAUAAUGACGGUACCGGAAGAAAAAGCUCCGGCUAACUACGU